GAGGGUAGAGCCUAAUGGUAGAGUGUGUGCCUAGCCUGCACAAGGUCCUGGGUUCAAUCCCCAGCACCUCCA
rnacentral:tRNA from 1 species